AUGCUGAAUGCUGCGACACAAACAACUGUAACUCAGAAACUCUGCCUGUUCCUGUUCAACAGGCAGAAAACGGCCUUCAGUGUUUCUUCUGUAUCUCUGGCACCGACAUUUGCUCGUUUACUGUCCAAUGUGAAGGAGCACAGGACCACUGCUUUGAUGGACAUGCCUCAACUGAUAAUAGAGUUCUACCUGUUGCUGGCUGCACAUCAACAGAUGUGUGUGAAAUUGCUCCUGAUCACGGUGUACUGCCAUUUAUGGAAGGCGUGGGAAAUCUAACCAGUGGACCAACCUGUUGUGGAACAAACCACUGCAAUGAUUUCACAGAACCAACAACAGCAGGACCAACUACAACUCCCUAACACCAAUAAUUGUUCUGAACUGGUUAAAAAAUAUAUUUACUGUAUAUUGUCUUUAAACUGUAAUCCAAGUUUUUAGAUCAGAACAAUAAUCCUAAUUUGUGGAGAGAUGUGCUAAUGUUCCUGUAGAUACAACUAAACAUUACCUUUAUUGUUUCCUCUACCAUUGCUUUAGCAUUUAAUGAUCCACUACACUUUAAAUUGAAAGUAAUGAAGCAUUAAAAGAUUUGGAAAUAUAGACAUAUGUUGCAGUGGUUGAAAUUUAAUUUUAAUUGUACAUUAUGAUGGAGAUAUUUUUGGAUGUAAUUUACUUUGUAUUACUCUUUACCUCCUGCAUGUUAUCAUAAGUUUUAAAAUAAUGCUGUUUUACAAUUUCAACCUAUAAAGAUUAUAAUCCAGGGUGGCACUAGUCAGUGUUUUCCUUGUGUUGACUGUUUAAAAUCUGUUUAAUUUGCAGUCAGUCCACAUUUACUGGUUCAAUAAAUGGGAAGAAAUUCAAAUUCA
rnacentral:lncRNA from 1 species